rnacentral:rRNA from 1 species
GACGAACGCUGGCGGCGUGCCUAAUACAUGCAAGUUGAGCGCUGAAGGUUGGUACUUGUACCGACUGGAUGAGCAGCGAACGGGUGAGUAACGCGUGGGGAAUCUGCCUUUGAGCGGGGGACAACAUUUGGAAACGAAUGCUAAUACCGCAUAAAAACUUUAAACACAAGUUUUAAGUUUGAAAGAUGCAAUUGCAUCACUCAAAGAUGAUCCCGGGUUGUAUUAGCUAGUUGGUGAGGUAAGGGCUCACCAAGGCGAUGACACAUAGCCGACCUGAGAGGGUGAUCGGCCACAUUGGGACUGAGACACGGCCCAAACUCCUACGGGAGGCAGCAGUAGGGAAUCUUCGGCAAUGGACGAAAGUCUGACCGAGCAACGCCGCGUGAGUGAAGAAGGUUUUCGGAUCGUAAAACUCUGUUGGUAGAGAAGAACGUUGGUGAGAGUGGAAAGCUCAUCAAGUGACGGUAACUACCCAGAAAGGGACGGCUAACUACGUGCCAGCAGCCGCGGUAA